UCCGGAUGUCCGCAUGCGCACUGCUCGCCUUGCCGGCCCGUAUCUCAGUGGCGCAUGCGCGCCGAGGCCGGUCGUCAGCGGGAUUUGUUGUCGGCGUCAGGCAAAGUUCUUAGAGCAGAUCUUUGGCCUCAGGUGUGAGGCGUUACCGCGGUCUGUCCGCCCAACAAUUCGGGCUCUGGGACGUGACGGGACUGGAAACGGUUCCCCAUCCCCCGAGCAGACUCGGCCUUGCUGAACAACCCACUGCAGUCCAUCAGUUGGCAUAGAUAAAACGUUUACUUAUUGGGAAAGACUAGGAAUUAAAAAACUUGGAGAUCUCUACGAGAUGGGAAAUCUCCUGUCAUUUCAGAAAUUACAGUCGGAAUACAAUCUGAAAGCAGGAAAACCAGAGCAAUUUUCGAAGACCUGGAUUCCAUUCAUCGAUUCAUUACAUGGAUGGUAUGGUGCAACACAAAUUCGGAAUUAAACCGAUUUAUGGGUUGGGUGAUGGGUGGGGAGAGAUAUGAAGCAGGUAUAUCAUCACUCUUUGUUUUUCUUUCUGUUUUUGUCAUUUUAUUUCUUUACGUUCUCAUUUUUUUGUACUUACUCUUCGACUACACUUAUUUGGUAGUCAUGGGGUUCUAUUCUUACACAUUCUCUUUCAUUUUCUCUCUUGCUUUUUCUCUUUUUUUCUAUUUCCUUAGCUAAAAAUUAAAAUUGAAGCUGUACAAUAAAUGUAUUAUGUCAUAUGCCGCUGUUUAUACUUUUGUACACUGCUUCAAAUAAAAAAUUUAAAAAAAGAAACAGUACCUGAUAACUGUACUCGAGCUCACCUCAUGUAAGAAUGAACAAUUCAAUUGUUCUACAAAAUUUCCACCCUGUUCUCAAUUUUGCAUGCUCUCAAUCUGACCCUUUUUUUGGGCUUCAUCUCCAUCCCAGGGGAUGUAUCCAGGUCCACAGACUCCCAUAGCUACCUACCUUGGCCACUUUCUCCGAUCCUAUUUCCUGUGACUACAUUUUGUGUACCCGGUUUCUCCAGCU